rnacentral:lncRNA from 1 species
UCGGGUAAGGGUUCAAAUUAUCUCAAAAGGAUGGUUUUAGGCACCUUUUAAGGUCCACAAGGGUGGUUCCCGACCGAAUUCAUACUUUACAUGGGGAUUCUAUGCGAUCAAAUAAAGUCUCUUAUUUUAUCAUUAAUUUAAUAUUUAGCUAAGCAAUAAAAUAAUUAAUAAGCAAAUGCAUGUCAUUUGUUAAUUCUAAUUGUCGAUUAUCUAGGUGAUAAAGCUAAAUAAAACAUGUAAAUAAGACAAGCGAGGAGAAAGAAGGCAAGACAAUUCAUGAUAAAGGGGACUGCUCAUGUAAUAAACCAAUUACCCCAAAUAAACAUGUAAAGUGAAUAAAAAGACUAAAAAAAAACGAAAUCGUCUAAGCCAAACAAAGAGAUGUUUUGGUUUUGUUCGGAUCAAAAACCCAACUUGUCAAUCAUCAUUCGACCCAAGGGCCAAACUCUUAAACAAGUAAUAAUGUCAUUAGCCUCGCCUUUAAUAUUUGUUGGGAUAAACAUUUCCGAAUGACUACCUGUCCCACCCCACCUAGGCUGAAUGUCAAGUCUAAAGGUGUUCUAUGACAAGGACAAAACUAACGUUUUUAGUAAUAAUUAUCAUCCCAACUAUCGUCUAAGAGGCAUUGGACUUUGUUAUUUUGGAUUUGUGUUCUAGACUAAAAGAAAUCUAUGUUGCCUAGGACUUGAAGCGCGAACAUAUUGGACAACAAGUAGCACGUAAUAAUCUCAAGUUAGCCUCUUGAUUAAUUAACGUUUAUUAAUGUGAUAGCAUGCGAAGAUAAGUAAUUAUAUAUUAUGUCAUUAACCUAUAGGCAUGAUGUCUAAUGUUCAAUCAAGUGGUGCCAAAGGACAACUGUGAUUCGUGUAUGCAACAAUAUAAUGUGCUCAUGAGGGGUGUCAAAAGUGUGGUAAAUGUGUCAAGAAAAUGUGCUUGUGAAUUAAGUGUCAUAAGCUAUAAUGAGAAUACAAGAAACUAGUAAAAUAUUAAAGGAUGCGUUAAAAUGUUAGGAAUGCACUUAAAUGCAGAGAACAAAUUAACAUAUAGAAAAUGUAGAGUAUUACUAGUAUUUUAGCAUGCUGGAAGUCAACUAAACAUGCUGAAAAAGUUAAACAUGCUGAAAAAUUAAUUAAUCAUGCUGAAAGUUACUUAAACAUGCUGGAAAGUUACUUAAACAUGCUGAAAAUAACGUUAAGACGCAGUAUUUUCAUGUUGAUAUGCUGAAAACAUGCCAAGAAUGUCUAAAAUCUAAUAUUUUAAUAUGGUAUAAAUGUAGGGAACUAGCAUUUUAAACAUGCUGAAAUCAGUAUAAGUGCUGAAAUUUAUUUAGAUGCGCAGAAAAAUCAUUUAAACAUGCUGAAAUUUAAUCUAAAAUUGCUGAACUAGAUGUUAGACAUGCUGAAACUUUGAUGUUAACAUGCUCAAAUUGUUUUAAUAUGCCUAAAACGGUGUCGACACGCCUAAAAAUGUAAAGACGUACUAAAUAAAUCGUGCUUAACAUGCAAAAAUUAAUGUAAUAAGCUAACGUAUCGAAAAUAUUAUCAUGCCUUAAUUUAAUGUGGAUAUGUUAAAAAGGUAUUAGCAUGCUUAGUUUCAAAUCAAUAUGCUUAACAUGCAGAGAUACGUCAACAUGCCUAAUGUCAAAUUAAUAAGCUUAAUAUCAAUUAAUAUGAUACGUCAAUUUUAGAUGGAUAAGAGUAAUUAAUAAAUCGUAGCAAGAUUCAUAUUAAUAGACCCAAAUUUUGUGCCUAGAUGAUUCAAAUAACACGUCUUGCAUGUAAUCCUAGGUUGUGCCUACCUAUACCGUUCAUAGAGCACAUAAUCCUUGCCCCCCAAAGCAGUCCCCAAAUAAUAUUAUUACAUCAAUAGGAAAAAUAUUUUAGAAUAAUAUUACAGACCAAAUAAAAAAAAAAAAAAAAACUAGUUAAAAAGAAUACAUAGUUUAACUAUUCCGGGGACUCUUUGGAACUUGUAAGUGUCUAUUUAACCUGCGAAACAAAUUAUAAUGGCAAGCAGACAGGAACACAUAAUAGCAAACAUCAAAAUAUUCCUAAAGACAUGCUUUCUAAAGAUUUUACAACACGAUGCAAUCAAGAUAAAUAGAGGAUGAAAAAUUACAUCGUUCAAGAACUCACCAGUGAACAGCAUUAAAGAGAGAAUAAGAAUAAUAGAAGCCAAAAGCCAAGUAUACGUAAUAGCGAGAUAUGCAAGAUGUUAACAGCAGCCUCUAAAGAGAAACAAAAAGCACUUAAAAAUAUUUAAUUGCCUUUGUAAAAAGUAGCCAAUGAUUUUUGUUAAGAGUAGUAGUAGUAAUUGUAAUUGUGAGACUUGAGAACUUUUCGCUGUCCCCUUUUGUGAAUGAAGGGAUGGGUUUAUAUAGUAUCAAAGAAAUCAGUCAGCUGAGACAAAACAGGAAAAUAAAUAUUCCACCCCUUUAAUUACUGAAGUGAUAUUAUGUAAAAUUAGUCGGGGGUAAAAAUAAGAAAGAGGAGAAAUCAAUCACCCAUAAUUUCCUUAAAAGAAGGCUUGCUCAAUCAAUUGUUUCAUGUUUCCAUAUAUAGGUGGGUAAGAAAAGAUACUAAUUUGAAAGAGGAAAAAUAAUAACAGAAACACGUAUCAUUUACCAUAGAUACUCAAAUUAAUUAAAAGCCAUCCGUUAAUUCUGCUAAAAGCCCAGAAUCUAUUGUCAAUUAGGAACAAACACAAUUAAUAUUUUAUCAUAAACACUGAUUCAAAUAUAAUCCAUGUAUAGCACCUUUCAAUAACAAUCAACAGUCAGCAAUCACAUUGAUUAUCAAAAUUGAGGGUUUUCGCACAUAAUAGUCCAAUGAUAAACAAGUAACUAGACGAAUUAACUCACACUGACAGUCAGAUAUCAUAAACCUUAGGCAAUUUGGGUGAUGAAAAGAACAUGCAAAUCAAAUCGAUAACAAACAUGCCAUUACUAAAACAAACCGUAUAAUAGUCAGAUCUCGGGGGGUGUUAUUUUUGUUGGUGGUGACACCGAAAAUGAAGGAGGUUGCGGAUUUGGAGCGGCGCGAGAAAGAGGCAGAGAAAGGAGGUUGAAUCACAACUGGUGGAGGUGGCAGAUCUGGGGGCGGUGCUGGAGUGGUGGCUCCGAUCGGCGAUGGGAGGCUGGUCGUUCUUGUUUUCGCCAGAGAGGACGGUGCCGGGGCUGGUUUCAUGGCGGCAGUAUGGAGGUUUUUGUGGUCGAUUGGCGACGGAGAGAUCGAAGGAGAGGGGGAGAUCGAGAUUUGGAAGGAUUUUGUAGAGAGAGAGGGGGCAAGGAGAAGGGCUCACUGGCGAUGAGACAGUGGCGGCACCAUCACCAGCAGCAAUGGAUGUCGAUGAUGAUGAGAAGAAAGAAGGGGAGAUAGAGAGAGAGGAGUUAGAGAGAUGAGAGGGGCGGAUGGUUUUUUUGGGGGGAAUUAUGGUUAGGUUUAGGUUUUGUUGUUGUUUUAAAAAGGAAGGUAAAGGAGGUUUGAUCUCAUCCAUCAGAUCAGUUUUUGAUCAACGGCUGGGAUUUAAAGAUUGAAAAUUUGACCAACAUUGAGUACCAUUUAAAAU